ensembl:antisense
UUUGUUAGCCGUCAUCCCAGGACUAGAGCCGGAGCAGACUGUCAGGAGGCUGAGCCUCCUCGGUAUCCCUCGGUGCCACAUGGCCUUUAGAGAUGGAAAGCCGGAAGCAAGCGGGUUUGGAUGUGGGGACAUGGCCUCUGGUUUUCCUGCUGAGGCUGAGGCAAGAGAAAGGCAGUAAAGAUACCACAGAAGGGUUCAGAAACAAAGGCAAUGGGCUUCCUCUUCUGAGACCACCACACAUCCCUCGUCUUCUUCGCAUGCCUGUCUGGAAUCCUGACCAGAACCUUAUCUCAAGUUUAGAUCAUUCACGAAUCCCACUUCUAGCCUGAUCAAGCUCUUUGGAAUUAAACUCAAACUCCUGAAUGUUCCAAGACACACCCCUUCUAGAGAUGCUGGAUCCAACCCAAACCUGCCCACUCUGGAGCCCACCGUGUGUUUAAGCCACACCCCUCCUAGUACCCCUCUUCCCAGUCCCUUUUAGCCCCAUUCCAGAAUGCUGUAGGACACCGCUUCCCUUUUAGGCUCCACAUCCAGUAUGUCUGGAAUUCAAUUGUCAGCUGACUAGUCCUCUCUCUACAGAGGCCAUCUCCUCUCCACCCCUCUACUCUCGGGUUUCCAUUUGAGAGCUUCUGAGGUUCAGGAGAUGCUGGAGGAACCAAGGCCAGAGUUAGGAGGGGCAGAGGGAGAGAAGGAAGGGGGGAAAAGUCACAUCGACCCACUCCAUGCAGCCAAGGUCUGGUCUCCUUCCCGUCCCCUUUCUAGAGCCCCCUUACCUCACGGGACAGGGCUGAGGAACAGAUAGGGGCUGAUGAAUGCAAGGUCAGGGGCAGGGAGGAGCCCAUUCAGGACUGGGCUCCUAGUGCAUGGAGAAGUGGGUGAAGGUAGGGCUCAGACAGAUAAAUAGAUAUUUAUAUAUAAUAUAUAUAUAUAUAAACAGCAAAGACAGUUAGGGUCUCCUGGGUUGAGGGGUGGAGACCUAGGAUAUGGGGAUGGGAAGGGGGGCAGGCCUUCUCUUGAGCUCUUGCCCACCCAUGGGGUCUUCGUGGGCUUCACUGACCUGUAGAGAGAGAAGACACAGAAAAGAGAAGGGGUCCAGGUGAGGGCGGGGCCUGAGCUCCCAGAGGAGGGCAGCACCCUCAGGAAGGGAUUGGUCUGCCAGGCUUUUUCUUCGGCCCACCAUGUUUUCCCUUUUUUUUCUCCAACAGGUCUGGAGUCAACACCACCCUAGCUGCUCUCAUUAGGAUGCUAUUACCAACCUUGCUCAAACAGGGCACCAAAGGAACAGUUAAGGUCCCCUCUCUUAACCAAAAAAAGCCCAUUAACCAGUACCGUUCUAGUCACUGUUGAAAAUCCAUAUUGAGAAAAAAAAUCCCUAUCUUUGUGAGGCUUACAUCAUAUCAGGGGAGGAGACAGGUUUCACAGUGAACAUGACAUGUUAGUAGAUUUAUCUAAUCCAAGACGACAAUAGGCCAUGCAUGAUGGUGCACAUCUUUGAUCCCAGCACUCAGGAGGCAGAGGCAGGUGGAUCUCUGUGAGUUUGAGGCCAGCCUGAUCUACACAGUGAGUUCCAGUACAGUCAGGGCUAUGUAGAGAGACCCUGUCACCAAAAAUAAAAAAAAAAAAAAUCAAAAAAUCCCUAAGUGAGUCUGUAGAAAUGUCUCUGAAGUUAAGAAUGCAUGCUGCUCUCCUGGAGGACCACGUUUGACUCACAGAACCCACACUGGGUGGGUUACAACGAUCUGUAAAUUUAACGAAUUUAAGGAAUCUGACCUUUCUCCCGGUCUCCAUGGACACUUGAACUCACGGGCACAUACUCACAUACAUACACGAAUAAAUAAAAGU